rnacentral:lncRNA from 1 species
CAGCCAAUCCAUUUUCCCUAAGCUGCUGUUAAGAAAAAAAAAAAUGGUGAAUCAGAGAGCCAUUAUCAAAGGUGCAAGCUGACUUGUCAUCACUUGUGUGAUGAAAAACAUCUUUGCCUGAAUCUUGUUCUUCACCUGGGCUAAGAUUUCUAUCUACACAACGCUUUUCAACAGUUCAGCUUCAAUUAACAACUAAGAGAGCUGCCAUUAGAUUUUCUCAAGACUGGAAACAAUGUAGGAUUUUCUUUUCUUCUAAAAAUAAUGUACAUUUUUAUUUGUAUCUAUACUCAGUCUCUAUACUUCUGCAUCUAUAUUUCUGCAUCAUUAAGUCAAACCACAGAUAUUUCUGGUUUCUGUGGUUACUCUUAGAAAUUACUGUAACGAUCUACUAAUUUGCUCUUUAUGCUUCCUGUAAGAGCUUCUUUGAGUCUUAUGGUUUUCACGUGAUGUAUUGCUAACAUCUUCUGAAGUUCUAAGUUUUAAUAACUGUCAAGAUUUCUAACUCAUUUUCCUCUGUCAAAUAUAGUAAGGGAUGCACAAACAAAAAUAUUCUCACAUUUCUGCCUAAAAUAUUUUUAAAAAUGGCUCACUUAUAUCUCCCUGCCUCACUUAUUGUACCUACUCAUGAGAAACUUCCAGAUUUAUUUAAUUGAGAUUCAUUUUUAGAACCAUGAGAAUGCUCUAAUAUCUUCUUGGUCCUUUGGAGGAAACAUUAAAAUUGUCCAUAAGACUGACAGAGUUCACGUAUAUGUUCUGCGACUCAUGGUUAAAAACACCACAUACCAUUAGCAACCCAUCUGUUCCAUUUCUUGGUAUACUAGAGUGUAAGGUCUCUUGGUUCUAAGACUGUAACAGUGCAAAUCUAUUUGGUACACUAGCUACAACAGGUUAACAUUAAGUUGGCUGUAUUUCAAGCUAACAAAGCUUGUCAGCAGUUCCAGGCCAGCUCCUAGAUUUUUUUUUUCUUUCCUUUUGGGAUCAUGCUUCCUUAUUUCUUCUCUCCUGAAUCUAUUCUCAUCUCUUUCUCUGUUAUAUUUCUUCAGCUUUUUAUAUGUGACUACUACUAGCACACAGUCACUAACAUCAGGUUCAUUGGACAAAUAGAGAUUUUUCAAUGACAUAUGUGUUUUAUUACUAAUGAUAGUACAUAAGCAAAUAUUUAUGAUGAUGAGUCUGGGGUUUCUAUCUGGAAGGUUUGAUGAAAUAAUAUAUACUCAGAGAUCCAAUAUUGAGUCAGUCAGUAGAAUAUCUUUUUCCUUAAACAGUCCUGAUCUUUCUCAUAUAUUUUCUCUGUGAAGCCUUUUGGAGCCACUGACAGUCCAGAAAUCUGUGUGUUACGGAGUUUCAGUAUUAGAAGCCAUGUGGUGAGGGAUUAAGUCAGGAACUCUCACACAAAGCUAUGACUGCUGAUAGAUAACGCAGAUUGAAAGAGACAGCCUGCAGUGAUUUCACCUCCACAGCAGAGACUUCAAUAUCUCCUCUUCUGUGGGCAUAAAUCUUUCUUGCUGAGUACUUUUCAAAAGGAUGGCUCCCAAGUUCUUGAGAAGGACAUUGCUGAGUUGUAGAAGAUACUUCUAAAAGGGACAGAG